GUAAACUCAGAUCAUCUAUUAGGUUCAUUAGAUCUAAAUUCUAAUAUUCUAUUGCCUCUAAAAUUAAGUUGAUGUGGUCCUUACAGAAGAAAUAUGCAAAAAUGGAAUUGCCAAUGGAAAUGUAAGAAUUUUGUAAAAAGCAGAUGUCAUUUCCCUUUUUUUUCUUUGCCUAAUGCAGUAAAGAAAGAACUCCAAAAUUGUAGCUUGAUCACCAG
rnacentral:misc_RNA from 1 species